rnacentral:rRNA from 1 species
AAGGAAUAUUGGACAAUGGAGGCAACUCUGAUCCAGCCAUGCCGCGUGAAGGAAUAAGGCCCUAUGGGUUGUAAACUUCUUUUAGACGGGACAAAACCCCUUUACGUGUAAAGGGUUGAUGGUACUGUCAGAAUAAGCAUCGGCUAACUUCGUGCCAGCAGCCGCGGUAAUACGAAGGAUGCAAGCGUUAUCCGGAAUUAUUGGGUUUAAAGGGUGCGUAGGCGGACUAAGAAGUCAGUGGUGAAAGCCUGCAGCUUAACUGCAGAAUUGCCAUUGAUACUGUUAUUCUUGAGUACAGUUGAGGUAGGCGGAAUGUGUCAUGUAGCGGUGAAAUGCUUAGAUAUGACACAGAACACCGAUUGCGAAGGCAGCUUGCUAAGCUGUAACUGACGCUGAGGCACGAAAGCGUGGGGAGCAAACA